rnacentral:rRNA from 1 species
UACGUAGGGGGCAAGCGUUGUCCGGAUUUAUUGGGCGUAAAGAGCGUGUAGGCGGCCAGGUAGGUCCGUUGUGAAAACUGGAGGCUUAACCUCCAGCUGUCGAUGGAAACCAUCUGGCUAGAGUCCGGAAGAGGAGAAUGGAAUUCCCGGUGUAGCGGUGAAAUGCGCAGAUAUCGGGAGGAACACCGGUGGCGAAGGCGGUUCUCUGGGCCUGACCUGACGCUGAGGAGCGAAAGCGUGGGGAGCGAACAGG